GCCCAUGUAGCCCAAUUGGUAGAGGCGAGAGUUCGAGAGGCUCUCUGUUCGGGGUUCGAGUCCCCGCAUGGGUA
rnacentral:tRNA from 1 species